GAUGAACGCUGGCGGCGUGCCUAAUACAUGCAAGUCGAGCGAACAGAUGAGGAGCUUGCUCCUCUGACGUUAGCGGCGGACGGGUGAGUAACACGUGGAUAACCUACCUAUAAGACGGGGAUAACUUCGGGAAACCGGAGCUAAUACCGGAUAAUAUAUUGAACCGCAUGGUUCAAUAGUGAAAGACGGUUUUGCUGUCACUUAUAGAUGGAUCCGCGCCGCAUUAGCUAGUUGGUAAGGUAACGGCUUACCAAGGCGACGAUGCGUAGCCGACCUGAGAGGGUGAUCGGCCACACUGGAACUGAGACACGGUCCAGACUCCUACGGGAGGCAGCAGUAGGGAAUCUUCCGCAAUGGGCGAAAGCCUGACGGAGCAACGCCGCGUGAGUGAUGAAGGUCUUCGGAUCGUAAAACUCUGUUAGUGGGGAAGAACCAAUGUGUAAGUAACUAUGCACGUCUUGACGGUACCUACUCAGAAAGCAACGGCUAACUACGUG
rnacentral:rRNA from 1 species